rnacentral:rRNA from 1 species
UACGUAGGGUGCGAGCGUUGUCCGGAAUUAUUGGGCGUAAAGGGCUCGUAGGCGGUUUGUCGCGUCGGGAGUGAAAUCCACUGGCUUAACUGGUGGCUUGCUUUCGAUACGGGCAGGCUAGAGUUCGGUAGGGGAGAUCGGAAUUCCUGGUGUAGCGGUGAAAUGCGCAGAUAUCAGGAGGAACACCGGUGGCGAAGGCGGAUCUCUGGGCCGAUACUGACGCUGAGGAGCGAAAGCGUGGGGAGCGAACAGG